rnacentral:misc_RNA from 1 species
CAAAACUACAACUACAUAAUUACCAUUGGAAGUGUGAGUGAACUCCUUCGUCCUUGAGGAACACGGCCAGAGCCACGGCCACGGUUGCCCUGAAAAUGAGAGGCGGCGUUCUAGUUAUUAAUAAGAAAUGGAUAGGCAUAUUCUAAAUGCCCCUUUCUCGACCAUUCUCCCUCUGCGGUUCUUAACAUCAUCGAUGUCUCAGAACGGAGAAGCGCUCGAAAACGCUUUGAUUUUCUACAAAGCUAAAGCAAGCCAUGAGUGCGCACGUUCAUAUUCCUGCGCACCCUCUCACCGGACGAAAAACAGUAGAGUGUUUGCACCUGUCAGUGCACCCAAUUGCGGCUUUAUCAUCGUGACACGUGCAGGCAGGCAUGUGAUCUUCACCCACCACCCAAAAGCACUCAUCCGUCAACGUAGCAAUUCUCUAACCAAAUGAUGAUGCCACGUGGCAGAACAUGUCAGAACCUUUUUUUUCCUUGGGUUUUUUUAAUUAAUUAAGAAUUAGAGAGAGAAAAUUUUGGUGAGUGGAGCCAAUGACUGCGAGUGAAUAAAUGCUAAGCCGGGAGGUCAAGCAAUAAUCCUUUUGGGUCUGGUCUCGUCAGUGUGCAUUUCCCUCUUCUUUUAUAGAAGAGGAGAAAACCCAAAUUUAUCCACCAAAUUUCUCUUUCUGCUGCCGUGAGUUUGAAAUGCUUGUUGGUUUUUAUGGUUCUCUUGGCAGCAAAAUCUCCAUAGUUGCCCCUUUCAAACUGUAGAUUUCCCUUCUUAUCCUCUCUCUCUCUUCUGGUCACUUUCCUUCAGUCGCCAUUUUUGUCUGUAUCUCUCUCGUUGAACGAUAUUUAUCUUGGGUUGUACGGACAUGGACGGUGGGGCACAGUACAACCCACGAACAGUGGAAGAGGUUUUCAGGGACUUUAAGGGCCGUAGAGCUGGAAUGAUCAAGGCCCUAACCACUGAUGUGGAAGAGUUCUAUCAACAGUGCGAUCCUGAGAAGGAGAACCUUUGCCUGUAUGGAUUUCCUAAUGAACAGUGGGAAGUCAAUUUACCUGCUGAAGAAGUGCCUCCAGAACUCCCGGAGCCUGCAUUAGGUAUUAACUUUGCCAGAGAUGGGAUGCAAGAAAAAGACUGGCUUUCUCUAGUUGCUGUUCACAGUGAUGCAUGGCUACUUGCUGUGGCUUUCUAUUUUGGUGCUAGAUUUGGGUUUGAUAAAGCUGACAGGAAACGUCUUUUCACUAUGAUAAAUGAUCUCCCAACAAUAUUUGAGGUUGUGACGGGAACUGUAAAGAAGCAGGUGAAGGAGAAGUCAUCAGUCUCAAAUCAUAGCAGUACCAAGUCCAAGUCAAGCUCAAAAGGGCGUGGAUCUGAAUCUGGCAAAUAUUCAAAGGGGCAGCCAAGGGAGGACGAUGAAGGACUGGAAGAAGAAGAUGAGGAAGAGCAUGGGGAUACUUUGUGUGGGGCAUGUGGAGAGAACUAUGCUGCAGAUGAGUUCUGGAUUUGUUGUGAUAUAUGUGAAAAGUGGUUCCAUGGCAAGUGUGUGAAGAUCACCCCGGCUAGGGCCGAGCACAUUAAGCAAUACAAAUGCCCAUCUUGCAGCAACAAGAGAGCACGACCUUGAUUUUUGUGGGUCGGGUGAGCCCUCACCUCUGUGCUUCACUCGUGUUCAUGUCAUCAAACUAUUUAGAUAGUCAGGUUCUCUAUGUUGUGCUAUGUUGGCACAGUAUAUUAUUAGGUACAUUUUCUUUGGGACCUGCUAGUUGUGUAUGUUAGCAUUUGGUAGUUCGCAUAGUCGGACAUGUCUACUACUUGAUUCUGAAUUUGGAUAUAUUAUUUCCACUAUGUAGGAAAUUAUUUGUCCUAUAUCAAACACAGAAUAUCUAAUCAUUCUCAACCAAUUUCUGAUCUCAACUUAUGUUGUUUGCUGUGCCCCAUGUGUUGGG